rnacentral:tRNA from 2 species
CCGCCCUUAGCUCAGCUGGAUAGAGCGCACCCCUCCUAAGGGUGAGGUCGCAGGUUCAAAUCCUGCAGGGCGGGCCA